rnacentral:lncRNA from 1 species
UAUAUAUAUAUAUACAUAUAUACAUACAUAUAUACAUAUAUACAUAUAUACAUAUAUAUACACAUAUAUACAUAUAUAUAUAUACAUAUAUACAUAUAUACAUAUAUAUACAUAUAUAUAUAUAUAUAAUUAUAUAAUUGCUUAUACAAUUAAGGGAAUAUUAAUAAUUUUUAAAAUUUGGUAUCAUUAAUUAUUAGUUAAGUUAUUAAAAAAAAGAAUCUACGUUAUUAGUUCUGAUUCUUCAAAAAGAGGCGAAGGCUUUUGCCUCAGACUAAAACAGAACACUGAGUAAUCAUGAUUCAAAAGAAGCUACGUGGGAGGUCGAGGAAGAUAUGAGGAAGAAGUAUCCUUAUUUAUUUGAGGAAAAAGAUAUGUGAACCUAAGUUUGGUUUUACAUUUAUAUUUCAUUAUUAAAUACGAGUUAGCAAGUGUUUCCUUCCUAGAUUAUAGUUAGUUGUCUUAGUGAUUUAGUUUAUGUCAGAGUAUAUUUAAUUCAUUAAAGUGCUUUACUUGUGCUAAAGUAGUUGUGCGUUAGAUUCUUGUAAGUUAUUGUGGUGCCUCCUUGCCAGAGUGUGAGUAAUUAAUUUAAGAGCUGUGUAUGACGCCUAUGAAUGGCGUGUUAUGGUAUAUUUGGUUGUUGUUGGUGUAGUUGGGCUAUUUGUGACAAAGAUAUUUUUUGAUAGUCCAAUUUACAACGGAAACUCUGUCGAAAUUAUUAAAAAAAGUGAGUAAUGCUAAGAAAACUUAAGAGGUUCAAGGACCUAAGGAAUGAUUGUUAGCUUAAGAAUAAGUCCCUAGGAACAUUCGAGGAUGAAUGUUUUUAAGGAGGGAAGAUUGUAACACUCCCCAAAUUUAUAAAAACAUUUCGAGACACGCUAACUAUAGACUUAAAUUAUUAUUAUUUUUAUCUUAUAUAUAUAUAUAUAUAUAUAUACACACACGCACACACACGCACACACACACACACACACACACAUAUAUAUAUAUAUAUAUGUAUAUAUAUAUAUAUAAAUUGGUUAUACAAUUAGGGGAAUAUUAAUAAUUUUUAAAAUUUGGUAUCAUUAAUUAUUAGUUGAGUUAUUUAAAAAAAAACCCAAGCAAUAUUUCCCGCAGACAACACGGAAAGAUUCAAGUGUUCUUUACAAAUCACUAAUUCUUAAAUUCAGGUAUAUAAAAUUCCCUAUUUCAAUUAUCCUAAAGUAAUAAUAGGUAAGAAUUGAAUAGCUAAUUCCCUUCUUCCCUAUAUUAAUAAUAAAGUUCAUAAUUAGGUGUAGUACUUGAAAAUAUACACUGGUUAUUGUAGAAUCAAUUGUUUGACGGGUAUAAAUUGGACUAGAGUCUAUGUAUUGGCUCAAGAAAUUUUGAGGUGAGUUGAUAUAACCCUUUACUAAAGUGGUUUAACUCACAAAAGCAUGCAUAAAAGGUGUUUGAUGAAUUUCUUAAAAGAAAUUAUCUUUAUUUAAUUAGAGCGAGUGAGUACCCAUUAAUUUAGAAUGGUUCUAGCAAAAGUUUAGAGGAUCUACAUGAUAUAUGUGCUGAAUUUUUUUCCAUAUUUUUGUGUUAUUUUUAUAUGCUAAUUUCAUAUUGCAACUUUAUGAAGAAGAAAGAAUCUUUAGAAAUAUCGUUAUAUGUUUAGUUCAUUCUUAUGUCAUCCUUUACAUUUAAGGACACCAUUAUUAGCAUGUACAUAAUGUUCUAUAAAGAAAAGUAUUAGAAUUGAAAAGUCACAAGAAGAAGUUUUAGAAAGAAAAGAUUUUUGGGGAGUAUCCUUUAUUCUGAGAAGGGGUAAUCGUCCAGGCCGAGGGUCCUGACCAAGGCGUUUACUUCCGAAACUACUUGUGCCAAAGUAGGGAGCACACGAGCCGAGGGUCUCGUUGCUGAGAAUUUACUUAGCCAUGCUAAGGUAUGAUACAUGAGCGCUGAGAAGCAUGAAGCGAGUGGCACCUCGUGGAUUGGGCCUAUUCGAUUAGGUUGGGAUCGAACCCGUGCCGAUCACACGGUGACUGAGACAGAAUUAAGUCAGGAUAGUUGGAACUCUCAAAGUAUAAAGUGAAGUGUGUUUUUUGAAAGGAAAAGAAAAGAAUUUCUUUUAGAAUGUUCAUAAAGUGCUAUUAUGCAAUUAUUUUAGAAUUAUUUUUAUAAGCUUUAUGUUUUACAUGCAUUUAGAACCUUUGCUCGUAAUGUAUAUGUUAUUGAAGUUUCUCCCCCUGUUGUUGAGACUCACUGAAUGUAGUGGAUGGUACUGACGUUCUCUUUUGGGAACCUACGUUGGUCUGCGGUACAAUGUAGGAAUCGGAUUUGCAGGCGAGUAGGCUACGAGUUAGGACUUAUAUAGUGGAUGAUACUGACGUUCUCUUUUGGAACCUACGUUGGUCUGCGGUACAAUGUAGGAACCGGAUUUGCAGACGAGUAGGCUACGAGUUAGGACUUCCUUCCCUUCCAGUGAUAUUGGUGAGCUCCGUUUUUUUUGGUGGAGUAUUCUUAGAGUCGUUUCCAUUUUGCUAUUUCUUUAUUUAUUUAGAGAACUGGCCAAGGAAUCUCAUGUCCUGAGCAGUGCGUCAGUCUAUCAGUAGAGGCUUCAUAGACAUAGUCAUUGGGUUGAGAUUUAGAUGUUAUUUUUUUAUAACUUAGCAGUAAUUCAGUUGUUUCAACGAAUAAAGCUUUGAAGUUUAUUUAUUUAAAUAUUUAAAUUAAUCAAACAUGUUAGUUUUUAUUACUUAGCAGUAAUUCGGUAGUUACUACGUAUAAAGCUUUGGAGUUUAUUUAUUUAAAUAAUUAAAUUAAUCGAAAGUAUUUGGUUAUAGUACUGCUUUGUUGCAUAUAAAGUUUGGAGUUAUAAUAAGUUUGAUAAGUAGAGAUUGUUCGCUUGGUCAUGUUUAGUGAACGAGUGCCGGUCUCGGCUUGUUUAGAAAAUGGGUCGUGACAAACUUGGUAUCAGAGCCUCAGGUUUAUGAAGUCUUAGGGGUCUAUGAAGCCGUGUGGGUUGAGUCUUGUUUAUGGGUAUAAAGCGCGCCAUACUUAUAAACAUGAGGCUACAAGCAUUUAGGAAAAAUCUCAUUUUUUCAUACUUUAGAUCCUGCAGUAGAGCCUACCUCUAAGAAAUUAUCUAAUGUAUUCUUUUUUCAAAAACUUACAGAAAUGGCUCCUACUCGCAACUUUGAAAUCGACACUCAGGAUGGUGCUCAAGAAACUAUUGCUACUAUUAUGGCUCAAGGAAUAACUAAAAAGGCUCGAACUUAGAAAAGGAAGGGUAAAUCCACUAGGGGGUUCAAGUACCCCAGGUUGAACAUGAAGAAGGGGUGGAGCAUGAUGAGCAACUACCUCAGGAUCCAACCCCAACCCCAACCCCAACAGCAUAUCCGACUCAAACAACUAUAUUGCCAGAGGUGGGUCAGAUGUUCAAUGUAGUCAACAAUGCUAUGGAGUUGUUUAAGGCCUUUAUGGCCAAUCAGAGCGAGAAGAGAGAUAAAUUUCUACCUCAAACAAAUAGGCAGAACAAUUCUGAGUCCUCAAUAGUGAAUGAAUUUCUGAAGUUGAGUCCUCAAGUGUUCCAUGGUUCUAUAGUUGAUGAAGAUCCAAUGUUAUGGAUGGAGGGUGUUAAGAAAGCUCCCCGAGUGAUGAAAGUAUAUGAUGACAAAGCUGUGGAAUUGGCUGCUUACCAGCUUAGAGAUGUGGCUGGCGCUUGGUUUGAGAUGUGGGAAAAAGAGAGAGAUGAAGAUAUUGGUCCACCUACUUGGGAAGAAUUUGAAGAGGCCUUCAUAUAUGAACUCAUUAGCACCAUCUCAGUCCAGUCAUCAGUCAGGUGGUGGGUCUUCCUUCGGACGUGCUCAGAGUUAUGGAAAUCAGUCUCGCCAGAAUCAAAAUUUUAGGACAUCAUCCACACAUAGCCAGAGUCAUGUUGAGCAACAUUCACACCAGGAAGGUAUUUGUGGAAUAUGUAAGCACAACAUUCAGGUCAGUGCAAGCUCGAGUUUCAUGGUUGCUACCAUUGUGGAGGCAUUGGUCAUAUAAAGACCAACUGCCCAAAGUUGCGACGUAAUUUCAGUGGUGGAUCAACUCGUCCUUCUCGUUCCUCAGCUACCGCAGUUGCACCACCUCAGGCUCGUGGUUCUCAUAAUCAGGCCGAGCAGGGGGCAAGCAGAGCUGGAGAUCGAGUUACUCAGGGCGGGGGACAACCCCGUUUGUUUGCUACACUUGAUCGUCAGAGUACAGAGGCAUCUGAAGAAGUUCUUACAUGUAUGCUUUUAGUCUGCUCACAUAAUGCUUAUGCCAUAAUGGAUCCAGACUCAACAUUUUCAUAUGUGACUCCAUAAUUUGCAAUUAACCUCGGUCUAGAACCUGAACAACUUAGUGAUCCUAGUAUCUACUCCAGUUGGCGAGUCAGUGAAAGUCACCAGAGUCUAUAGAGGUUGUAUAGNNNNNNNNNNNNNNNNNNNNNNNNNNNNNNNNNNNNNNNNNNNNNNNNNNNNNNNNNNNNNNNNNNNNNNNNNNNNNNNNNNNNNNNNNNNGAAGGUCACCAGAGUCUAUAGAGGUUGUAUAGUUUCAAUUCAAGGUCGCAACACCAAAGCCGAUAUCAUUGAGUUAGAAAUGGUGGAUUUUGAUGUGAUCAUGGGUAUUGAUUGGUUGUCUUCCUGCUAUGCCAUGUUAGAUUAUCAUGCCAAGAUAGUCAGGUUCCAAUUUCCAAAUGAAGAUUUCUUAGAGUGGAAGGGUAGUUCAGCAUCGCUUGUAGGUAAGUUUAUUUCUUACCUUAAGGCACAACGAAUGAUCGAUAAGGGGUGUUUCGCCUAUUUGGCUCACAUCAUUAAUCCAGAAUCAGAACCACCAACUCUUCAGUCAGUGCUAGUUGUUAGAGAAUUUUUAGAAGUUUUCCCAGAUGACCUUCCCGGACUUCCUCCUGAAAGAAUCAUAGACUUUGGCAUUGAUCUCAUGCCAGGUACUCAGCCCAUAUCUAUACCUCCUUAUAGGAUGGCUCCAACAGAACUUAAUGAGUUAAGAGAACAGUUGAAAGACCUUCUUGACAAGGGCUUCAUCAGGCCGAGUGUUUCACCGUGGGGUUCCCCGGUCCUGUUUGUCAAAAAGAAAGAUGGGUCUCUUAGAAUGUGUGUCGACUAUCGGCAAUUGAAUAAAGUUACCAUUAAGAGCAAGUACCCAGUGUCAAUAAUUGACGAUUUAUUUGAUCAACUUCAGGGUGCAAAGUACUUUUCAAAAUAGACUUGAGGUCGGGAUACCAUCAGUUGAGAAUCAGAAAAAAGGAUAUAUCUAAAACAGCCUUUUGAACUCGCUACGGGCACUAUGAAUUUCUAGUGAUGUCCUUCGGGUUGACAAAUGCUCCAGCUGCAUUCAUGGACCUCAUGAACAUAAUUUUCAAGCCAUUCCUGGAUACCUUUAUUAUUGUGUUUAUAAAUGAUAUUUUGGUGUACUAUAAGAGCAAGGAAGAUCAUGCAGAACACCUCAGAAUAGCCUUGCAGACCUUGAAGCGGAAUGAGCUUUAUGCCAAGUUUUCAAAAUGUGAGUUCUGGUUGCAGCCAGUGGCAUUCUUGGGCCACGUGGUAUCUAGUGAAGGGAUGAAAGUAGACCCUCAGAAGACAGAAGCAGUCAAGAACUGGCCUAGGCCGACAAUGCCAAUCAAAAUGAGGAGUUUCUUGGGGUUAGCUGGAUACUAUAGAAGGUUUGUGGAGGGGUUUUCCUUGCUUGCAGCUCCAUUAUCUAAGUUGACUCAGAAAGCAGUUAAGUUCAAAUGGUUAGACACUUGUGAGCAGAGUUUUCAAGAGUUAAAGAAGAGGUUGACCACUGCACCUGUGCUAACCUUGCCGACAGGCUUAGGUGGUUUCACAUUGUAUUGUGAUGCCUCCAGAGUGGGCCUUGGUUGUGUUUUUAUGCAAAAUGGAAAAGUUAUUGCUCACGCUUCCAGGCAGUUAAAGAAUCAUGAAAAGAACUAUCCCAUACACGACUUGGAGCUUGCAGCAGUGGUGUUUGCAUUAAAGAUAUGGCGACAUUACCUUUAUGGCGAGCAUUCUAAAGUGUUUACAGACCACAAAAGCCUCCAGCACAUUUUCAAGCAAAAAGAACUAAAUUUUAGACAGAGAAGGUGGCUCGAGCUAUUGAAAGAUUAUGACAUCAAUAUCCGUUAUCACACGGGCAAAGCUAAUGUGGUAGCAGAUGCGCUUAGUAGGAAGUCAAUGGGCAUUUUGGCCCAUCUUGCAGAACAAAGGCGAUCUUUGGGUAGAGAAAUUCAAAAACUGGCAAAUGAUGGAAUUAGAUUGGAUGAGACCGAAGAAGGAGAUAUAACUGCUUAUGCAUUAGCGCAAUCCUCCCUUGUUGCGCAUGUUCCCUACUUAGUGAAAUUAAAAGAAGGAGUCAGAAACAAAGAAAUCACUCCUUUCACUCUAGGAAGUGAUGGAGUUUUGAAGUUGAAUAAUCGGUUAUUUGUGCCUGAUGUAGGUGGUCUUAGGAAGGCCAUAAUGGAGGAAGCUCACAGUUCGAGGUACUCAAAUCACUGCUUUCGCUCUAGGAAGUGAUGGAGCUUUGAAGUUGAAUGAUCGAUUAUGUGGGCCUGAUGUAGGUGGUCUUAGGAAGGCCAUAAUGGAGGGAGCUCACAGUUCGAGGUACUCUAUCCACCAUGGUGCUACCAAAAUGUAUUUAGAUUUGAAAGAGUUGUAUUGGUGGAAAGGCAUGAAGAAACAAGUAGCAGAUCAUGUGGCUAAAUGUUUAAAUUGCCAGCAAGUCAAAGCGAGCAUCAGAGGCCUGGUGUCCUAGUCAAGACAUAAAGAUACCAUAGUGGAAGUGGGAGAUGAUUAAUAUGGAUUUCGUAGUAGGUCUUCCUCGCAUGUUCCGUACACAUGAUUCAGUUUGGGUUAUUGUAGACCGGCUGACAAAGUCCGCGCAUUUCCUAUCAGUAAAGACGACAGAUUCCGCGGAGCAGUAUGCGCAGUUGUACAUCAAAGAAAUAGUCCGAUUGCAUGGUACUCCAGUUUCAAUCAUAUAGGACAGAGGCCUUCAAUUCACAGCGCAUUUUUGGCAGGCAUUUCAGUAAAGAUUAGGUACCAAGGUCAAUUUAAGCACCGGUUUUCAUCCACAGACCGAUGGCCAGACAGAAAGGACCAUUCAGACUCUCGAAGAUAUGCUGCGUGCCUGUGUUGUAGAUUUUGGAGGUAAUUGGGAUGAUCACUUGCCACUUAUAGAAUUUGCUUACAAUAAUAGCUAUCAGGCCAUCAUUGGUAUGGCUCCUUAUGAAGCAUUGUAUGGGUGGAGAUGUAGGUCUCCGGUGGGCUGGUUUGAACCAGCAGAGGUGUCGUUGAUUGGUCCAGAGUUUGUUUAUAGCGUUGUAUGGGCAGAGAUGUAGGUCUUCGGUGGGUUGGUUUGAACCAGCAGAGGUGCCGUUGAUUGGUCCAGAGUUCGUUUGUGAGGCCUUGGGGAAAGUUCAACUAAUUAGAGAAAGACUUAAAGCGGCUCAGAGUCGUCAAAAGUCUUAUUUUGACAAAAGGCAUCGUGAGUUAGAGUUCAUGGUUGGUGAUAAGGUGUUUUUUAAAAUUUUCACCGAUGAAAGGAGUUAUGAGGUUUGGUAAGAAAGGGAAACUAAGCCGUAUGUUUAUCGGACCUUAUGAAAUUCUAGAAAAGAAAGGGAAUAUGACUUAUAAGCUAGCACUACCCGUUGAGUUGUCCUCUAUUCAUCCUGUUUUUCAUGUGUCUAUGCUUAGAAAGUACAUUCAUGAUGAGUCACAUAUAAUGCCCGCCGAUACCAUAGAAAUUAAAGAAGGUUUGAUUUAUGAAGAGUUUCCGAUAGAAAUUCUCGAUUGGCAAGUAAGAAAGUUGAGGACAAAAGAUAUAGCAUCGGUAUAAGUUUUGUGGAGUAAUCAUGAUUCAAAAGAAGCUACGUGGGAGGUCGAGGAAGAUAUGAGGAAGAAGUAUCCUUAUUUAUUUGAGGAAAAAGAUAUGUGAACCUAAGUUUGGUUUUACAUUUAUAUUUCAUUAUUAAAUACGAGUUAGCAAGUGUUUCCUUCCUAGAUUAUAGUUAGUUGUCUUAGUGAUUUAGUUUAUGUCAGAGUAUAUUUAAUUCAUUAAAGUGCUUUACUUGUGCUAAAGUAGUUGUGCGUUAUAUUCUUGUAAGUUAUUGUGGUGCCUCCUUGCCGGAGUGCGAGUAAUUAAUUUAAGAGCUGUGUAUGACGCCUAUGAAUGACGUGUUAUGGUAUAUUUGGUUGUUGUUGGUGUAGUUGGGCUAUUUGUGACAGAGAUAUUUUUUUGAUAGUCCAAUUUACAACGGAAAUUCUAUCGAAAUUUUUUAAAAAUUUAGGGAGUUAGCCAAAAUUUUGAAUCCCUUGGAAAAGUGAGUAAUGCUAAGAAAACUUAAGAUGUUCUAGGACCUAAGGAAUGAUUGUUAGCUUAAGAAUAAGUCCCUAGGAACAUUCGAGGGCGAAUGUUUUUAAGGAGGGAAGAUCUUAACACUCCCCAAAUUUAUAAAAAAAAUUUCGAGACACGCUAACUAUAGACUUAAAUUAU